ACCACAUAUUUUCUGGAAUGUUAAAACUCAACAGAAAAAAAAGGGCUGAAAAGCGGUGGCCCAAUCUUAUGCAAAUGGGCCACGCUGGGGAAGCCAGCCUAGGGCCGGCCUGGUCAGCAAAUUGGAUAAGGAGCAAGCGGCCAGGGAUAGCGAUCCCCAGCAGCAUCCAUCCCCAAUCCCCACGACCGACGCGGGAGGCGACUGCCAUGGCCGGUCGGCCGUUUCUCCGGCAACUCGUGGAGAGACCACGACCCGGGCGGAACGCCACCGAGCCUCGCGUUGGAGGCCGGAGAAGGCUGUGCCAGAGGACUCCGGGGAGGGCGUGCCGGCCCGAUUGGGCACAGGCGGAGACGCCCACGGCCGGUCGGCCGCACCACCGGCGGCAUGAGGAUCUCCCGCCCCGCUCGUCCUCGGAGUAGGCGCGACGCGUUGGAGGCGCCAUUCAAGAGUCCGAGUGCCUCUGGGCUCCAUGUGCCAGAGCGGCCGGAGCGCGGUGCAUGGCGCAAUGCGGGCGGCAGCCGGGCGCAGGGCGCGACGCGACGCGGACGGGCGCGGGCGCUCCACACGGGAGGGUGCAUCCAACGGCGCGGGCGCGUGCAGCGCGGUGGCCAUUCUGUCCCGUGGAGGAGCAGCCAAGGCGCACGGACGGGGGCGCCGCUAGCGAUGUGAUGAAAAGCAGCAGCAGUUGCCGCUCGAUCCAGUGCAAGAAAUCACUCCGGAAGAUGAAAUAGAGAUCUUUGAUUGAUGGCAAGAAGAAGAAAAGAAAGAAAAUGGACAAUGUCCUGAUCCAGUUUUCCUGUUUACGGAUGCACCAGGUCAAUGUCGAUGCAUCUUGUGUGAUU